UACGUAGGGUGCAAGCGUUGUCCGGAAUUAUUGGGCGUAAAGAGCUCGUAGGCGGCCUGUCGCGUCGGCUGUGAAAACCCGGGGCUCAACCCCGGGCCUGCAGUCGAUACGGGCAGGCUAGAGUCCGGCAGGGGAGACUGGAAUUCCUGGUGUAGCGGUGAAAUGCGCAGAUAUCAGGAGGAACACCGGUGGCGAAGGCGGUUCUCUGGGCAUGUUCUGACGCUGAGGAGCGAAAGUGUGGGGAGCGAACAGG
rnacentral:rRNA from 1 species